UACGUAGGGGGCUAGCGUUGUCCGGAAUCAUUGGGCGUAAAGAGCGUGUAGGCGGUCCGGUAAGUCCGUUGUGAAAGUCAGGGGCUCAACCCUCGGAUGCCGAUCGAUACUGUCAGGCUAGAGUCCGGAAGAGGCGAGUGGAAUUCCUGGUGUAGCGGUGAAAUGCGCAGAUAUCAGGAAGAACACCAAUGGCGAAAGCAGCUCUCUGGGACGGUACUGACGCUGAGACGCGAAAGCGUGGGGAGCGAACAGG
rnacentral:rRNA from 1 species